GAUGAAGAACGUAGCGAAAUGCGAUAAGUAGUGUGAAUUGCAGAAUUCAGUGAAUCAUCGAAUCUUUGAACGCACAUUGCGCCCCUUGGUAUUCCAUGGGGCAUGCCUGUUCGAGCGUCAUUUGUACCUUCAAGCUUUGCUUGGUGUUGGGUGUUUGUCUCGCCUUUGCGUGUAGACUCGCCUUAAAAUAAUUGGCAGCCGGCGUAUUGAUUUCGGAGCGCAGUACAUCUCGCGCUUUGCACUCAUAACGACAGCGUCCAAAAGUACAUUUUACACUCUUGACCUCGGAUCAGGUAGGGAUACCCGCUGAACUUAAUCAUAUCAAUAAGCGGAGGA
rnacentral:misc_RNA from 1 species